GAUGAAGAACGCAGCGAAAUGCGAUACGUAAUGUGAAUUGCAGAAUUCAGUGAAUCAUCGAAUCUUUGAACGCAUAUUGCGCUCUCUGGUAUUCCGGAGAGCAUGCUUGUUUGAGUAUCAGUAAACACCUCAACUUCCAUAUCUUUUUUGAAAUGGGAGUUGGACUUGAGUGAUCCCAACGCUUUUCCUCACCGAAAAGUGGCGGGUUACUUGAAAUGCAGGUGCAGCUGGACUUUUCUCUGAGCUAUAAGCAUAUCUAUUUAGUCUGCCUAAAAAACAGAUUAUUACCUUUGCUGCAGCUAACAUAAAGGAGAUUAGUUCUUGUGCUGACUGAUGCAGGAUUCACAAAGACAGGCUUCGGCCGACUUUGUAAACUCGAUCUCAAAUCAAGUAAGACUACCCGCUGAACUUAAGCAUAUCAAUAAGCGAAGGA
rnacentral:misc_RNA from 1 species